rnacentral:rRNA from 1 species
GUCGAGCGGAAAGGCCCUUCGGGGUACUCGAGCGGCGAACGGGUGAGUAACACGUGAGCAACCUGCCCCAAGCUUUGGGAUAACCCUCGGAAACGGGGGCUAAUACCGAAUAGGACUUCCGGCCGCAUGGCUGGGGGUGGAAAGUUUUUCGGCUUGGGAUGGGCUCGCGGCCUAUCAGCUUGUUGGUGGGGUGAUGGCCUACCAAGGCGACGACGGGUAGCCGGCCUGAGAGGGCGACCGGCCACACUGGGACUGAGACACGGCCCAGACUCCUACGGGAGGCAGCAGUGGGGAAUAUUGCACAAUGGGCGGAAGCCUGAUGCAGCGACGCCGCGUGAGGGAUGACGGCCUUCGGGUUGUAAACCUCUUUCAGCAGGGACGAAGCGAGAGUGACGGUACCUGCAGAAGAAGCACCGGCCAACUACGUGCCAGCAGCCGCGGUAAGACGUAGGGUGCGAGCGUUGUCCGGAUUUAUUGGGCGUAAAGAGCUCGUAGGCGGCUUGUCGCGUCGACCGUGAAAACUUGGGGCUCAACCCCAAGCCUGCGGUCGAUACGGGCAGGCUAGAGUUCGGUAGGGGAGACUGGAAUUCCUGGUGUAGCGGUGAAAUGCGCAGAUAUCAGGAGGAACACCGGUGGCGAAAGGGGGUCUCUGGGCCGAUACUGACGCUGAGGAGCGAAAGCGUGGGAGCGAACAGGAUUAGAUACCCUGGUAGUCCACGCUGUAACGUUGGGCGCUAGUGUGGGGACCUCUCCGGUUUCCUGUGCCGCAGCUAACGCAUUAAGC